rnacentral:rRNA from 1 species
CCUACGGGUGGCAGCAGUGGGGAAUAUUGGUCAAUGGGCGAUAGCCUGAACCAGCGAAGCAGCGUGGAGGAUGGCAGGCCUAUGGGUUGUAAACUUCUUUUAUGUGGGAGUAAAUUGCAGUAUGUAUACUACUUUAGAAGGACCUGAUUAAUAAUGUGCGGACAACUCCGUUCCAACAGCCGCGGUAAGACUGAGGAACCAACCCUUAGCCGGAUUUAUUGGGCGUAAAGGGAGCGUAGGCGGGUUGUUAAGUCAGGUGUGAAAGUUUGCUGCUCAACCGGAAAAUUGCAGUUGAUACUGGUAUACUAGAGUAAAGUAGGGGUAGGCGGAAUUCGUGGUGUAGCAGUGAAAUGCGUAGAUAUCGCGAAGAAC